rnacentral:rRNA from 1 species
CGUGUAGGUGGGUCUUUAAGUCGAUGGUGAAAUCCUGCGGCUUAACCGCAGAAUUGCUUUCGAAACUGGAGAUCUUGAGUGCGGCAGAGGGAGAUGGAAUUCAUGGUGUAGCGGUGAAAUGUGUAGAUAUCAUGAAGAACACCGGUAGCGAAGGCGGUCUCCUGGUCCGCAACUGACACUGAGGCGCGAAAGCGUGGGGAGCAAACAGGAUUAGAUACCUUGGUAGUCCACGCCUUAAACGAUGGGUACUCGGUGCUGGACCGCGAGGUUCAGUGCCUAAGUUAACGCAUUAAGUACCCCACCUGGGAGUACGAUCGCAAGGUUGAA